rnacentral:rRNA from 1 species
CAGAGGGUGCAAGCGUUGUUCGGAAUUAUUGGGCGUAAAGGGCGCGUAGGCGGUGCGGUAAGUCUUUUGUGAAAUCUCCGGGCUCAACUCGGAGUCUGCAGGAGAAACUGCCGUGCUGGAGUAUGGGAGAGGUGAGUGGAAUUCCCGGUGUAGCGGUGAAGUGCGUAGAUAUCGGGAGGAACACCUGUGGCGAAAGCGGCUCACUGGACCAUUACUGACGCUGAGGCGCGAAAGCUAGGGGAGCAAACAGGAUUAGAUACCCUGGUAGUCCUAGCCCUAAACGAUGAUUGCUUGGUGUGGCAGGUACCCAAUCCUGCUGUGCCGAAGCUAACGCGAUAAGCAAUCCGCCUGGGGAGUACGGUCGCAAGGCUG